rnacentral:ncRNA from 2 species
AAAAAAUUGAUGACGAGAAGAGUAAGUUAGGACACUGUUCCCCAGAGAGCCGGCAAGUGGUGAAAGCCGGCGUUCAGUACCUGGCCGAAAAUCAUCUCCGAGAUGCAGAACUGAAUUUCAGUAAGUUCUGACGGGCUUCCGCCGUUACAAAGGAACACGUAUGAUUGUACGUUGGCUGAGUGCCGCGCGCCUUUUUGGCAGUGCGGAAUGAGGGUGGUAACACGGGUAUUAACUCGUCCCUGUU